rnacentral:rRNA from 1 species
CGACACGCCCGUCACGCCAUGGAAGUGGCGAGCGCCCGAAGUCCGUGUCGGAACCGCAAGGACAAGCGGCCGAAGGCCGAGCGUCAUGACUGGGGCG